rnacentral:rRNA from 1 species
CCUACGGGAGGCAGCAGUGGGGGAUAUUGCACAAUGGGGGAAACCCUGAUGCAGCGACGCCGCGUGGGCGAAGAAGUAUUUCGGUAUGUAAAGCCCUAUCAGCAGGGAAGAAGAAAUGACGGUACCUGAGUAAGAAGCACCGGCUAAAUACGUGCCAGCAGCCGCGGUAAUACGUAUGGUGCAAGCGUUAUCCGGAUUGACUGGGUGGAAAGGGAGCGCAGGCGGCACGGCAAGCCUGAUGUGAAAGCCCGCGGCCCAACCGCGGGACUGCCUUGGGAACUAGCGGGCUGGAGUGCCGGAGAGGUAGGCGGAAUUCCUAGUGUAGCGGUGAAAUGCGUAGAUAUUAGGAGGAACACCAGUGGCGAAGGCGGCCUACUGGACGGUGACUGACGCUGAGGCUCGAAAGCGUGGGGAGCAAACAGGAUUAGAUACCCUGGUAGUC